rnacentral:rRNA from 1 species
UGCCAGCCGCCGCGGUAAUACGGAGACUGCGAGCGUUAUUCGGAUUCACUGGGCGUAAAGGGUGUGCAGGCGGUCAUGUAUGUCAGGUGUGAAAUCUCGGGGCUCAACCCCGAAACUGCGCCUGAAACUACAUGACUAGAGUCUCGGAGAGGGUAGUGGAAUUCCUGGUGUAGCGGUGAAAUGCGUAGAUAUCAGGAGGAACACCGAUAGCGAAGGCAACUACCUGGACGAGUACUGACGCUCAAACACGAAAGCAUGGGGAGCGAAAGGGAUUAGAUA